rnacentral:lncRNA from 1 species
UUUUAUUUUAAUAGUAAUUGUUGUUUGUGAAAUUUGGAUUGUUGAAUUAAUAUGAAAUUUGGGGUUAAUUUGUUGUUGGUAAAUCAAUACGUAAUUCGAUUUAAUUUAUUGUUAGUGAAUUAAUUUGAAAUUUGUUAAUUUGGGUUUGUGGAUAUAUUGUAUUUGGUGAUUAAUUUGAGGAUAUUUGGAUUAUAUCAAUUG